ensembl:lncRNA
AGCAAAAUAGUGCAAGCAUCCCUUCUGGCCAACACUCUGUUGCAGAGCUUGGUGACCACACCCAUGACUUGGAACCCAAUGUUUUCUCUACAGACUUAUUCAGAGACACAGAAUUGAGAGCAGAGUGUCUGUCUGUCAUCCAGUCCCACACCAGACAGCCCUGAGCAUGAGGUGCAUUGUGUCAGAGGUCAAUCCGGCACUUCUUCUGUGAAAGAGGGGAUUGGAGAAGUUGGUGUCCAGCACCAGGAGGUGUCACCCCCUGUGUUCUCAACAGACCUUACCAGUGAGACCGAAUCGAGAUCAGCGUGUCAGUCAUCCAGAGCCGUGCCAAACGACUCUGCUUGUGAGUGUACAAUCCAUAAGCUGGUUUUUGAAUUGGUGAGAAUUGACAAAUGCUGGAUAUGCCAUUCACCUUUGACAUCUGUCAGAUGGCACGGUGUAAGAUGCAAACUGAUGGUCACUACAGAGGGCAGUUUGGUCAAUUUGCAAAUGCUUGUGGAGCCGAAGAUCCUCAAAACCUCAGAUCAACUAACCUUCGCAA